rnacentral:tRNA from 2 species
UCGUGUACUGGUCGGGGUGGCGCGACCUGCGGCUGGCGCUGCCGCUGGUCCUGGCGGGCCUGCUGGUGUUCCUCGCCAUGCACCGC